rnacentral:misc_RNA from 1 species
AAGCUGAUGUACGCUUCCAGAUAUGCUCUUUUAGUAUAUAGCACUUUACUGCAGGUUUCAACUCAAGUUUCAACCUUCAGCAGUUGAAUUUUUGGCAAUCAAACCUUCAGGAAUCUCAAAAUAUUUUAUUUAUUGUUGAAUUUAUAAAGGAGACUUUUAAUGAAUAUUGUUAAUUUUAAUAUUAUUGCUACUCAUGUAUGUGCAGCUACAAUUUUAUAUAUACAUUUAGAUAUUUAUAUACUUAUCUUAUGCAUACUAUUAAAAUGCUUGAAGGUUGUAGAAGUUGAAAACUGGAACAUUAAUUGUUAUAUCUAUUUAUAUUUAAAAUAUUGUUCAGAUAUAUGGAAACAUGAAUAACUAUAAUAUAUGCAUGCUUUACAAAUUCAUACUUUGCUAUUCUGCUUCCUUUUUGGAGAAUUCAUUUUAUUUUUUAUUUCAAUUUGUGUUCACCAUCUUUGUCAGAAAUGCUUAAUUGCACUAAUGUUGUGAUGCAAUAAACUUUGGAUUAAGUAUUCAAUAAAAAGAAGAGCUUGGUU